CUACAAAGUGGCUUUAAUACCCUGAAGACACAAUAGCUAAGAUCCAAACUGGGAAUAGAUACCCCACUAUGCUUAGCUCUAAAGUUCAAAAGUCAACUC